rnacentral:lncRNA from 1 species
AUGAUGGGACCGGGACCAAGACUGGGACUGGGAUUGGGACUUGGGAUUGGGACUUGGGCUGGCAUCAAGACACUGCAAUUACAACCACCAAACACCAAAAAAACCCACUCAUUAUUCCAGAUUUUCUUUAAUUUUUCCUUACUCCAACCAUCAGAACGCUGCUCAAGAAGCCUGGCUCGGGUACCCCCAGAUCUGCGGCGCCGCCCCAGCCGCAGCGGCGGCGUCCCUGGCGUGGGUGCGCUGGUGGCGCCGGUGGUGCGAGCUGCGGCUGAAGCUCUUGCCGCAGAGCCCGCAGCCGUACGGGCGCUCGCCGGUGUGGCUGCGCCGGUGCUGGCUCAGCGUGGAGCGGUCGGUGAAGCUCUUGCCGCAGUCGGCGCAGCCGUACGGGCGCUCGCCGGUGUGGAUGCGCCGGUGCCGGCUCAGGUUGGAGCUGACGUUGAAGCGCUUGCCGCAGUGGCCGCAGGCGUACGGCCGCUCGCCCGUGUGGAUGCGCAGGUGCUUGACCAGGUCCGAGCUCUGGCCGAAGCUCUGCCAGCACUCCCCGCACGUGUUGGGGAUGCCCAGAGCGGAUUUGGGCCGCGCUCGGCCGCCCCUGCGCUGCCCCUUGGGGCUCCUCCGGCCGUCCAGGCGCGCGCGGGGCCGCGGCGUGGCCGGAGAGUGACCGCAGGUGUCGGUCAGUGCGGUGUGGGAGUGACCGCAGGUAUCCGGUCAGCGCGGUGUGGGAGUGACCGCAGGCUGCGGUCAGCGCGGUGUGGGAGUGACCGCAGGUGUCGGUCAGUGCGGUGUGGGAGUGACCGCAGGUGUUGGUCAGCGCGGUGUGGCCGCGGCGGUGACGCUGCAGGUGGGAGCUCUGGGAGAAGGUUUGGCCGCAGUCCGGACAGGUCAGUGGGCAGUGGUCAGCGGAGGGGGCAGUGCUGGGGUGGUGGGAUGUGGGGUGGUCAUCUGGGCGGUCAUCAGGGCGGUCAUCUGCCAGGCCGCUGGCGCCGCUGGGUGUGGGCUGUUGGUCAUCAUUGUCAAUGUCCGGCUGGCCGGAGCCGCCCCACUGACCAUCGCUGUGCUCCCGCUGACCACUGCCAUGGUCCUGCUGACCGCUGCCAUGGCUGA